GACGGAGGGUGCUAGCGUUGUUCGGAAUCACUGGGCGUAAAGGGCGCGUAGGCGGCCCAUGCCGUCGGCUCGUGAAAGCCCGGGGCUCAACCCCGGAGGCGCGGCCGAGACCCAUGGGCUGGAGGCCGGAAGAGGAGGGUGGAAUACCCAGUGUAGAGGUGAAAGUCGUAGAUAUUGGGUGGAACACCGGUGGCGAAAGCGGCUCUCUGGUCCGGUUCUGACGCUAUGGCGCGAAAGCGUGGGGAGCAAACAGG
rnacentral:rRNA from 1 species